rnacentral:rRNA from 1 species
CCUACGGGCGGCAGCAGUGAGGAAUAUUGGUCAAUGGCCGUGAGCCUGAACCAGCCAAGUCGCGUGAAGGAUGAAGGAUCUAUGGUUUGUAAACUUCUUUUAUAUGGGAAUAAAGGUAGGCACGUGUGGAUUUUUGUAUGUACCCUAUGAAUAAGCAUCGGCUAACUCCGUGCCAGCAGCCGCGGUAAUACGGAGGAUGCGAGCGUUAUCCGGAUUUAUUGGGUUUAAAGGGUGCGUAGGUGGUUUUUUAAGUCAGCGGUGAAAGUUUGUGGCUCAACCAUAAAAUUGCCGUUGAAACUGGCAGACUUGAGUAUAUUUGAGGUAGGCGGAAUGCGUGGUGUAGCGGUGAAAUGCAUAGAUAUCACGCAGAACUCCGAUUGCGAAGGCAGCUUACUAAACUAUAACUGACACUGAAGCACGAAAGCGUGGGGAUCAAACAGGAUUAGAUACCCUAGUAGUC